CUCUGGAUAAAAUAAAACUUAAAGCAACAAGGGCGAGGGAACUCUAUAAAAAUAACAGGAAUCACAAGUAAAACUACUAGUCGUCUGCAUCUUCUAACUGAAUCUUCGAACCUGUGUCACUGAAAGGGUGGAAGAUUUUGGGGUGAGAACAAACCACACGUUCUCAGUAGGGAAUGGGAAUGCCGUAAAAGUAAUGAAUUUAAUGCAAAUAAUUAACUUUACUCAAUAAAACUAUUUUGUUAACCCUUUGGAAAUACUUUUAUUUCUACUUUAGAUAAAUAAUUACUUUUCUUUAAAUUUCUAAACUCAAAACAAAUUUUAAAUAUAAAACUAGUCACAUUUUCUGUCUCUCAGCCACAUAGUUAAUCCUCAGUCAAAUGUCAACUUGUAAUCACUUUAGUAUACUCACAAACAAUUAGUGCAAGCAAGAGAUUCAAUUCAAUGUACAAGCAAGUCACCACAAGACAAACAAUACAAUCACAAAGUAAUAAAACAGGCAAGCGCAAUCAAAUGCAAAUGCGCAAUCAAUAUGAUGCAUGUCUAUCCCUAACGCAGGCCAUGAGCUCAUGUGUCGGUUGCCUACCCGCUCCCGACAUUA
rnacentral:lncRNA from 1 species